GAUGAACGCUGGCGGCGUGCCUAAUACAUGCAAGUCGAGCGAACAGACGAGGAGCUUGCUCCUCUGCCGUUAGCGGCGGACGGUUGAGUAACACGUGGAUAACCUACCUAUAAGACUUGGAUAACUUCGGGAAACCGGAGCUAAUCCCGGUUAUUAUAUUAAACCGCAUGGUUCAUUAUUGAAAGACGGUUUUGCUUUCACUUAUAGAUGGAUCCGCGCCGCAUUAGCUAGUUGGUAAGGUAACGGCUUACCAAGGCAACGAUGCGUAGCCGACCUGAGAGGGUGAUCGGCCACACUGGAACUGAGACACGGUCCAGACUCCUACGGGAGGCAGCAGUAGGGAAUCUUCCGCAAUGGGCGAAAGCCUGACGGAGCAACGCCGCGUGAGUGAUGAAGGUCUUCGGAUCGUAAAACUCUGUUAUUAGGGAAGAACAAAUGUGUAAGUAACUAUGCACGUCUUGACGGUACCUAAUCAGAAAGCCACGGCUAACUACGUG
rnacentral:rRNA from 1 species